rnacentral:sRNA from 1 species
UCCUUGGUACUGCUGUUAUCUGUGGCGAC